rnacentral:rRNA from 1 species
AGUGAACGCUGGCGGCGUGGAUAAGGCAUGCAAGUCGAACGGAAAGGCCCCAGCUUGCUGGGGUACUCGAGUGGCGAACGGGUGAGUAACACGUGGGUGAUCUGCCCUGCACUUUGGGAUAAGCUUGGGAAACUGGGUCUAAUACCGAAUAUGACCACUUCUUGGAUGUUGUGGUGGAAAGCUUUUGCGGUGUGGGGAUGAGCCUGCGGCCUAUCAGCUUGUUGGUGGGGUAAUGGCCUACCAAGGCGGCGACGGGUAUCCGGCCUGAGAGGGGGUACGGACACAUUGGGACUGAGAUACGGCCCAGACUCCUACGGGAGGCAGCAGUGGGGAAUAUUGCACAAUGGGCGCAAGCCUGAUGCAGCGACGCCGCGUGGGGGAUGAAGGCCUUCGGGUUGUAAACUCCUUUCGCUAUCGACGAAGCCACUUGUGGUGACGGUAGGUAGAUAAGAAGCACCGGCUAACUACGUGCCAGCCGCCGCCGUAA